ACGAACGCUGGCGGCAUGCCUAACACAUGCAAGUCGAACGAGACCUUCGGGUCUAGUGGCGCACGGGUGCGUAACGCGUGGGAAUCUGCCCUUAGGUUCGGAAUAACUCAGGGAAACUUGUGCUAAUACCGUAUGAUGUCGAGAGACCAAAGAUUUAUCGCCUAGGGAUGAGCCCGCGUAGGAUUAGCUAGUUGGUGGGGUAAUAGCCUACCAAGGCGACGAUCCUUAGCUGGUCUGAGAGGAUGAUCAGCCACACUGGGACUGAGACACGGCCCAGACUCCUACGGGAGGCAGCAGUGGGGAAUAUUGGACAAUGGGCGAAAGCCUGACCCAGCAAUGCCGCGUGUGUGAAGAAGGCCUUAGGGUUGUAAAGCUCUUUUACCCGGGAAGAUAAUGACUGUACCGGGAGAAUAAGCCCCGGCUAACUCCGU
rnacentral:rRNA from 1 species